rfam:Tumebacillus flagellatus strain GST4 Contig078, whole genome shotgun sequence.
UAACUCGCAUCAUGAGGUGCGACUGAACCGGCAGGAGUCAGCAGAGGUCAUAGUACCUGCAAAGGAGACGUCCGUGUAGGGAAGGAC